rnacentral:tRNA from 1 species
ACUUGGGUGGCUCAGUUGGUUGAGAGCCUGACUUCAGCUCAGGUCAUGAUCUCACAGUUUGUGGGUUCGAGUCCCAUAUCAGGCU